AGAGUUUGAUCCUGGCUCAGGACGAACGCUGGCGGUGUGCUUAACACAUGCAAGUCGAACGGUAAGGCCCUUCGGGGUACACGAGUGGCGAACGGGUGAGUAACGCGUGAGUAACCUACCCUUGACUCUGGGAUAACAGUUGGAAACGACUGCUAAUACCGGAUACUCAGUCUUUCAGGCAUCUGGAGGAUUGGAAAGCUCCGGCGGUCAGGGAUGGACUCGCGUCCUAUCAGCUUGUUGGCGGGGUAACGGCCCACCAAGGCGACGACGGGUAGCCGGCCUGAGAGGGCGACCGGCCACAUUGGGACUGAGAUACGGCCCAAACUCCUACGGGAGGCAGCAGUGGGGAAUAUUGCACAAUGGGCGCAAGCCUGAUGCAGCAACGCCGCGUGCGGGAUGACGGCCUUCGGGUUGUAAACCGCUUUCAGCAGGGACGAAGUGAAAAUGACGGUACCUGCAGAAGAAGCACCGGCUAACUACGUGCCAGCAGCCGCGGUGAUACGUAGGGUGCGAGCGUUGUCCGGAAUUAUUGGGCGUAAAGAGCUUGUAGGCGGUUAGUCGCGUCGAAAGUGCAAACUCAGGGCUUAACCCUGAGCCUGCUUUCGAUACGGGCUGACUAGAGGAAGGUAGGGGAGAAUGGAAUUCCCGGUGGAGCGGUGGAAUGCUCAGAUAUCGGGAGGAACACCAGUGGCGAAGGCGGUUCUCUGGACCUUUCCUGACGCUGAGAAGCGAAAGCGUGGGGAGCAAACAGGCUUAGAUACCCUGGUAGUCCACGCCGUAAACGGUGGGUACUAGGUGUGGGGAACAUUCCGCGUUCUCUGUGCCGUAGCUAACGCAUUAAGUACCCCGCCUGGGGAGUACGGCCGCAAGGCUAAAACUCAAAGGAAUUGACGG
rnacentral:rRNA from 1 species